GCGUUUGGGGUAAUUCAACCUUUGAGAAUUCGACUAGGGGAGGGGUUUGUGCCGAAUAUGGUCUUUGGGAAUUAAGGUAAUCGGUUUGGGGUUUUCUUUCUUUCUGCUUUGAUUUUGGUCAGUUUUUCUUUCCACCCUUUUGUUUUUUGGUGCUGAAUUUUGCUAAAGGCUUCGGGUACCUCUCGGGUUUGCUCAUUUACUUUUUUUUUACUUUUCCUUUAUUCCUUUUUGUUUGUUGUGGCCAAAUAAUUCUUUGGUUUUCCUCUCUGCCGAAUCCCUUUUCCCUUCUUUCUUCUCUUUGUUGCCGAAGCAUGUCUUCACUUUUCUCCUUUUCUCUUUACUGCUUUUUUCUCUCCCCUACCUUUCCCAAACCUUGCCGAGUUUUUGAUCC
rnacentral:lncRNA from 1 species